rnacentral:rRNA from 1 species
AUCGAACGUACCCCGAGGUGGGGGAUAGCGUCGGGAAACCGGCGGUAAUACCCCAUGUGCUCUACUGAGGAAAGCUCCGGCGCCUUGGGAGCGGCGAUCGUCCUAUCAGGUUGUUGGUGAGGUAACGGCUCACCAAGCCGAAGACGGGUAGCGGGUGUGAGAGCAUGACCCGCCGCAUCGGGACUGAGACACUGCCCGGACUCCUACGGGAGGCUGCAGUAACGAAUCUUCCGCAAUGCACGCAAGUGUGACGGAGCAAUGCCGCGUGUGGGAUGAAGCGGUUCCGCCGUGUAAACCACUGUCAGGGUCUAGGAAGAACUGACCAGACCCAGAGGAAGGGCCGGCUAAUCUCGUGCCAGCAGCCGCGGUAAGACGAGAGGCCCAAGCGUUAGGCGGAUUCACUGGGCUUAAAGGGUGCGUAGGCGGAUUGGCAAGCAUCUCGUGAAAUCCCUCGGCUCAACCGAGGAAUUGCGGGGUGAACUGCCUGUCUUGAGGAAGGCAGAGGCUGUCAGAACGUUCGGUGGAGCGGUGAAAUGCGUAGAUAUCGAACGGAACGCCGAAGGGGUAGCCAGGCAGCUGGGCCUUACCUGACGCUGAGGCACGAAAGCGUGGGGAUCAAACAGGAUUAGAUACCCUGGUAGUCCACGCCGUAAACGAUGUGCACUAGCUCGAUGCAGAUCUGACUCUGUGUCGGGCGCCGAGAAAUCAUUAAGUGCACCACCUGGGGAGUACGGUCGCAAGGCUAAAGCUCAAAGGAAUUGACGGGGGCUCACACAAGCGGUGGAGCAUGUUGCUUAAUUCGAAGCAACGCGAAGAACCUUACCUGGGUUUGACAUGCACGGAUUAGUCAUUGGAAACAGUGAUGACGCUCUUCGAGUGGAACGUGCACAGGUGCUGCAUGGCUGUCGUCAGCUCGUGCUGUGAAGUGUCGGGUUAAGUCCCUUAACGAGCGCAACCCUUAUCGCUAGUAGCCAGCGCAUUAUGGCGGGGACUCUAGCGAGACCACCGGUGUCAAACCGGAGGAAGGUGGGGAUGACGUCAAGUCCUCAU